rnacentral:tRNA from 1 species
AAGGGUAUAGCUUAAGUGGUAGAGUGCAUGUUUAGCAUGCACGAGGUCCUAGGUUCAAGUCCCAGUAUCUCUU